UACAGAGGUCCCAAGCGUUGUUCGGAAUUACUGGGCGUAAAGCGCACGUAGGCGGAUAUUUAAGUCAGGGGUGAAAUCCCAGAGCUCAACUCUGGAACUGCCUUUGAUACUGGGUAUCUCGAGUAUGGAAGAGGUGAGUGGAAUUCCGAGUGUAGAGGUGAAAUUCGUAGAUAUUCGGAGGAACACCAGUGGCGAAGGCGGCUCACUGGUCCAUUACUGACGCUGAGGUGCGAAAGCGUGGGGAGCAAAC
rnacentral:rRNA from 1 species